rnacentral:rRNA from 1 species
AGGGUUUGAUCCUGGCUCAGAGCGAACGCUGGCGGCGUGGUUAAGGCAUGCAAGUCGAGCGGAUGAUUCAGAUGGGUAACCAACUGAAUUUAUUAGCGGCGAAAGGGUGAGUAAUGCAUGAGUAACGUACCCUGGACACGGGGAUAGCCAGCCGAAAGGCUGGGUAAUACCCGAUAAUAUCUUUGGAUCGCAUGGUUCAAAGAUCAAAAGAUGGCCUCUACAUGUAAGCUGUCGGUCUUGGAGCGGCUCAUGUCAUAUCAGCUUGUUGGUAGGGUAAUGGCCUACCAAGGCUAAGACAUGUAGCUGGUUUGAGAGGACGAUCAGCCACAUCGGGACUGAGACACUGCCCGGACCUCCACGGAGGGCUGCAGCGACGAAUAUUCCGCAAUGCGCGAAAGCGUGACGGAGCGACGCCGCGUGUGGGACGAAGCCCCUCGGGGUGUAAACCACCGUCAGGACCAAGCAAACAAUGAGGGUUAAUAGCCCUUGGCGAUGAGCUAAGCCAACGGAAGUCACGGCUAACUCUGUGCCAGCAGCCGCGGUAAGACAGAGGUGGCUAGCGUUGCUCGGAAUUACUGGGCUUAAAGGGUGCGUAGGCGGCUAAGUAAGCGUUUUGUGAAAUCCCUCCGCUUAACCGAGGAACUGCUUGGCGAACUACUUAGCUUGAGGCGUGUAGGGGUCAGUGGAACUCUGGGUGGAGCGGUGAAAUGCGUAGAUAUCCAGGGGAACGCCAGUGGCGAAGGCGACUGACUGGGCACGACCUGACGCUGAGGCACGAAAGCGUGGGGAGCGAACGGGAUUAGAUACCCCGGUAGUCCACGCCCUAAACGAUGUGCACUAGGUUCGAGGAUCUCUGACGAUUUUCGGACCGAAGGGAAACUGUUAAGUGCACCGCCUGGGGAGUACGGCCGCAAGGCUAAAACUCAAAGGAAUUGACGGGGGCUCACACAAGCGGUGGAGCAUGUGGCUUAAUUCGAAGCAACGCGAAGAACCUUACCUGGGUUUGACAUGUUUGGAUGCCGCCCCUGAAAGGGGGUUAGGCUGCCUUCGGGUGAAACUUACACAGGUGCUGCAUGGCUGUCGUCAGCUCGUGCCGUGAGGUGUUGGGUUAAGUCCCGUAACGAGCGAAACCCUUAUCGUUAGUUGCCAGCAGGUUAUGCUGGGCACUCUAGCGAGACUGCCGGCGUUAAGCCGGAGGAAGGUGGGGACGACGUCAAGUCAUCAUGGCCUUUAUGCCCAGGGAUGCACACGUGCUACAAUGCCUGGUACAAAUCGACGCUAAGCCGCGAGGCCACGCAAAUCGCAAAAAGCCAGGCCCAGUUCGGAUCGCAGUCUGCAACUCGACUGCGUGAAGUUGGAAUC